UUAAUUGAAAACAAAACUUUCAACAACGGAUCUCUUGGUUCGGGCAUCGAUGAAGAACGCAGCGAAAUGCGAUAAGUAAUGCGAAUUGCAGAAUUUCCGUGAGUCAUCGAAUCUUUGAACGCACAUUGCGCCCAUUGGUAUUCCGAUGGGCAUGCCUGUUCGAGCGUCAUUAUCCUCCCUCAA
rnacentral:rRNA from 1 species